rnacentral:rRNA from 1 species
UAAUACGUAGGCAGCAAGCGUUGUUCGGAGUUACUGGGCGUAAAGAGUGCGUAGGCGGUGCCCCAAGUCUGUUGUGAAAUCUCCCGGCUUAACUGGGAGGGUGCGGUGGAAACUGGGGUGCUUGAGUGUGGGAGAGGUAAGCGGAAUUCCUGGUGUAGCGGUGAAAUGCGUAGAUAUCAGGAGGAACACCGGUGGUGUAGACGGCUUACUGGACCACGACUGACGCUGAGGCACGAAAGCGUGGGUAGCAAACAGGAUUAGAUACCCUGGUAGUCCACGCCCUAAACGAUGCAUACUUGGUGUGAGCCAUUCAUUUGGUUCGUGCCGGAGCUAACGCGUUAAGUAUGCCGCCUGGGGAGUACGGUCGCAAGGCUG